rnacentral:rRNA from 1 species
AGAGUUGAUCCUGGCUCAGAACGAACGCUGGCGGCGCGUCUUAAGCAUGCAAGUCGAACGGCAAGAGGUAGCAAUACCUCCUAGAGUGGCGGACUGGUGGGUAACACGUGGGUGACAUACCCUUCAGAUGGGGAUAGCUAUUAGAAAUAGUAGAUAAUACCGAAUACGAGCACAGGGGUUAGAGAUCUGUGAGGAAAGGAGCUAAGGCUCCGCUGAAGGAAUGGCCUGCGGCCCAUUAGCUAGUUGGUGAGGUAAGAGCCCACCAAGGCGAUGAUGGGUAUCCGGCCUUAGAGGGUGAACGGACACAUUGGGACUGAGAUACGGCCCAGACUCCUACGGGAGGCAGCAGCUAAGAAUAUUCCGCAAUGGACGAAAGUCUGACGGAGCGACGCCGCGUGGAUGAAGAAGGCCGGAAGGUUGUAAAAUCCUUUUGAAACUGAAGAAUAAGCGUUGUAGGGAAUGACAGCGUGGUGACAGUAGGUUUUGAAUAAGCAACGGCUAAUUACGUGCCAGCAGCCGC